rfam:Gossypium raimondii Chr07_contig_773, whole genome shotgun sequence.
AUCCCAUGGUGAGAGCAUUUAUGAGUAGCUUUUUAAAUCUUUUCCACGCCUCAUAUAGGGAGUCAUCAUCCAUCUGCUGAAAACUGGUGAUCUCAUUCCACAACUU